rnacentral:rRNA from 1 species
GUACAGAGGUCCCGAGCGUUGUUCGGAUUUAUUGGGCGUAAAGGGUGCGUAGGUGGCAAAGUAAGUUGGAUGUGAAAUCCUGGGGCUCAACCUCAGAAUUGCAUUCAAUACUGCUUAGCUAGAGAGCUGUAGAGGAGACUGGAAUUUACGGUGUAGCAGUGAAAUGCGUAGAUAUCGAUAAGGAACGCCAGUGGCGAAAGCGGCGUGCUGGACCUUUUCUGACGCUGAGGCGCGAAAGCUAGGGGAGCAAACGGGG